UAAUACGAGGGGUGCUAGCGUUGUCCGGAAUCAUUGGGCGUAAAGGGUCCGUAGGUGUCUUUGCAAGUCGUUUGUUACAUCCACCGGCUUAACCGGUGGCCUGCAAUCGAAACUGCAAGGAUAGAGUUCGAGAGAGGAAAGUGGAAUUCCUGGUGUAGCGGUGACAUGCGUAGAUAUCAGGAGGAACACCAAUGGCGAAGGCAGCUUUCUGGCUCGACACUGACACUGAGGGACGAAAGCGUGGGUAGCAAACAGGAUUAGAUACCCUGGUAGUCCACGCCGUAAACGAUGAGUACUUGAUGUCGGAGGAUUCGACCCCUUCGGUAUCGUAGCUAACGCGUUAAGUACUCCGCCCGGGGACUACGGCCGCAAGGCUG
rnacentral:rRNA from 1 species